rnacentral:rRNA from 1 species
UACGGAGGGUGCGAGCGUUGUCCGGAAUCAUUGGGCGUAAAGGGCGCGUAGGUGGCCCGGUCAGUUCGUGGUGAAAGCGCGGGGCUCAACCCUGCGUCGGCCAUGAAUACUGCCGCGGCUGGAGCACUGUAGAGGCAGGCGGAAUUCCGGGUGUAGCGGUGGAAUGCGCAGAUAUCAGGAGGAACACCGGUGGCGAAGGCGGAUCUCUGGGCCUUACCUGACGCUCAGGCGCGAAAGCUAGGGGAGCGAACAGG